UCCAGCUCCAAUAGCGUAUAUUUAAGUUGUUGCAGUUAAAAAAGCUCGUAGUUGGAUUUCGGUUGAGAGCGGCCGGUCCGCCGUUUGGUGUGCACUGGCUGGUUUCAACUUCCUGCGGAGGACGCGCUCUGGGGCUUAACGGUCUGGACGUGGAGUCCGCGUGGUUACUUUGAAAAAAUUAGAGUGUUCAAAGCGGGGCU
rnacentral:rRNA from 1 species